ACGAAGGGUGCAAGCGUUACUCGGAAUUACUGGGCGUAAAGCGUGCGUAGGUGGUGGUUUAAGUCUGCUGUGAAAGCCCUGGGCUCAACCUGGGAAUUGCAGUGGAUACUGGAUCACUAGAGUGUGGUAGAGGGAUGCGGAAUUUCUGGUGUAGCAGUGAAAUGCGUAGAGAUCAGAAGGAACAUCCGUGGCGAAGGCGGUUCUCUGGGCCUUACCUGACGCUGAGGAGCGAAAGCGUGGGGGGCAAACAGGA
rnacentral:rRNA from 1 species